rnacentral:rRNA from 1 species
GUGUCAGCCGCCGCGGUAAUACGGAGGGUGCAAGCGUUAUCCGGAUUCACUGGGUUUAAAGGGUGUGUAGGCGGGCUAUUAAGUCAGUGGUGAAAUCUCCGGGCUCAACCCGGAAACUGCCAUUGAUACUAUUAGUCUUGAAUAUCGUUGAGGUAGGCGGAAUAUAUCAUGUAGCGGUGAAAUGCAUAGAUAUGAUAUAGAACACCGAUUGCGAAGGCAGCUUGCUAAACGAUGAUUGACGCUGAGGCACGAAAGCGUGGGGAUCAAACAGGAUUAGAAACCCUUGUAGUCC